rnacentral:rRNA from 1 species
AGGACGAACGCUGGCGGCGUGCUUAACACAUGCAAGUCACGGGGGCCCGCAAGGGCAACCGGCGAACGGGUGCGUAACACGUGAGCAAUCUGCCGAUCUCUGGGGGAUAGCCGGCCCAACGGCCGGGUAAUACCGCAUACGCUCAUCGGGGGGAUUCCCCUGGUGAGGAAACCUCCGGGGGAGAUCGAGGAGCUCGCGACCUAUCAGCUAGUUGGCGGGGUAAUGGCCCACCAAGGCAUCGACGGGUAGCUGGU